rnacentral:tRNA from 1 species
GGGGUUGUGGCUCAAUGGUAGAGCGCAUACCUAGCAGGCCUGAGGCAUAGGGUUCGAUCCUUAGCACCA